rfam:Bacillus sp. VT-16-64 NODE_130, whole genome shotgun sequence.
AUAAAAAACCCUGCAGAAAUUCUGCAGGGUCCUUCUAUUUUCCGCCUUGGCGGAUAGAAGGCAAAGGGAGAGGAGAAACCGGAGGAAGAACUUAUGGGGAAACGUAAGUCUUCUCCGCGG